GACGAACGCUGGCGGCGUGCUUAACACAUGCAAGUCGAACGGAAAGGCCUGUCCUUCCUUGUGUUGGACGGGUACUCGAGUGGCGAACGGGUGAGUAACACGUGAGUGAUCUGCCCCCAACUUGGGUAUAAGCCUGGGAAACUGGGUCUAAUUCCCGAUAGGACUGCAGGGUGGUGCCUGUGGUGGAAAACGAUUUUCUAGUGGUUGGGGAUGAGCUCGCGGCCUAUCAGCUUGUUGGUGGGGUAAUGGCCUACCAAGGCGGCGACGGGUAGCCGGCCUGAGAGGGUGGACGGCCACAUUGGGACUGAGAUACGGCCCAGACUCCUACGGGAGGCAGCAGUGGGGAAUAUUGCACAAUGGGCGGAAGCCUGAUGCAGCGACGCCGCGUGGGGGAUGACGGCCUUCGGGUUGUAAACUCCUUUCGACCGCGAGGAAGCCGCCUGGUUGGAAGGGUGGUGACGGUAGUGGGAGAAGAAGCACCGGCUAACUACGUG
rnacentral:rRNA from 1 species